rnacentral:misc_RNA from 1 species
GUGAAUCAUCGAAUCUUUGAACGCAAAUUGCACUCUCUGGUAUUCCGGAAAGUAUGCCUGUUUGAGGGUCAGUUAAUUCAUCAACGGUGGUGCUGCUGCUUUUCGUGGUGACGCGUCGGAAUUGAGUUGUGCUACCUUCGGUUAAUUGACUUAAAAUUUUGAAUGAUCUUGGUACGUAUCUAUAUUUU